rnacentral:rRNA from 1 species
UACGGGGGGGGGCAAGCGUUGUUCGGAAUUACUGGGCGUAAAGGGCUCGUAGGUGGCCAACUAAGUCAGAUGUGAAAUCCCCAGGCUCAACCUGGGAACUGCAUUUGAAACUCCCUUUCUUGAGUACCGGAGAGGAAAGUGGAAUUCCUGGUGUAGAGGUGAAAUUCGUAGAUAUCAGGAGGAACACCAGUGGCGAAGGCGGCUUUCUGGACGGUAACUGACGCUGAGACGCGAAAGCGUGGGGAGCAAACAGG